UAAGGAAUAUUGGUCAAUGGACGCAAGUCUGAACCAGCCAUGCCGCGUGAAGGAUGAAGGUCCUCUGGAUUGUAAACUUCUUUUAUCUGGGACGAAAACGGGAUUUUUAUCUCAAUUGACGGUACCAGAGGAAUAAGCACCGGCUAACUCAGUGCCAGCAGCCGCGGUAAUACGGAGGGUGCGAGCGUUAUCCGGAUUUACUGGGUUUAAAGGGUGCGUAGGUGGGCUUAUAAGUCAGUGGUGAAAUCUCCGAGCUUAACUUGGAAACUGCCGUUGAUACUAUAGGUCUUGAAUUAUCUGGAGGUAAGCGGAAUAUGUCAUGUAGCGGUGAAAUGCUUAGAUAUGACAUAGAACACCAAUUGCGAAGGCAGCUUACUACAUAUAAAUUGACGCUGAGGCACGAAAGCGUGGGGAUCAAACA
rnacentral:rRNA from 1 species